rnacentral:rRNA from 1 species
UACCCGCAGCUCAAGUGGUGGUCAUUAUUAUUGGGCCUAAAGCGUCCGUAGCUGGCUUGUUAGAUGCCUGGGUAAAUCGAUGCGCUCAACGCAUCGAAUUCCGGGUAGACCGGCAAGCUUGGGACCGGGGAGAGGCAUGGGCUACUCGCGGGGUAGGGGUAAAAUCCUGUAAUCCUGCGGGGAGGACCAGUGGCGAAGGCGCCAUGCUAGAACGGCUCUGACAGUGAGGGACGAAGCCCUGGGGCGCAAACCGG